rnacentral:rRNA from 1 species
AUUGAACGCUGGCGGCAUGCCUUACACAUGCAAGUCGAACGGCAGCACGGGUGCUUGCACCUGGUGGCGAGUGGCGAACGGGUGAGUAAUACAUCGGAACGUACCUUAUCGUGGGGGAUAACGCAGCGAAAGUUGCGCUAAUACCGCAUACGCCCUGAGAGGGAAAGCGGGGGACCGUAAGGCCUCGCGCGAUUAGAGCGGCCGAUGUCUGAUUAGCUUGUUGGUGAGGUAAAAGCUCACCAAGGCGAUGAUCAGUAGCUGGUCUGAGAGGACGAUCAGCCACACUGGGACUGAGACACGGCCCAGACUCCUACGGGAGGCAGCAGUGGGGAAUUUUGGACAGUGGGGGCAACCCUGAUCCAGCAAUGCCGCGUGAGUGAAGAAGGCCUUCGGGUUGUAAAGCUCUUUUGUCAGGGAAGAAACAGCAGCUCUAACACAGUCUGCGAAUGACGGUACCUGAAGAAUAAGCACCGGCUAACUACGUG